GCAAUAUAAGUAAGCAAGAAAUAUUCGCAGAGGAAUCUUGGCGGAAUAACUUUUAUGCGCCCACAGGCGAUGAGCUCCUGCCGUUAUUCCCAAACCAGCCACGACACCGUACGCAAAACCUUCAGGAUGAUCCAAGAGGGUUUUUGAUAUUUAAAAGGUAUAUACGUUUAGCAUGAAAUCGAAAUGCUUAAAAGAUUUUCCAACGGAUAAAGGAAUAUUUGGGCGAGAAGAGCGCAGGAUGCUUAAAUCUCAAGCUUGCAGAUUGAAAGAAAAGGAUAGAAUCGAGAGAAAAAUGGGAUAAAAAUCGAUUUUCCAGCAAACUCAAAUAUUUGAUGCGUCAAUAAAUGGUUUGUUUGAAAUUCUGAAUGGAUAAAAAUAAAAGAGGUAAAAUGAAGGAAAUUUGAAAAAGGAGAAAAGCGAAUUUCCGGUACGAAGUAGAAACGAGUCACGAUAUGUACUUACUCCAAAUCCACGUCCAAAGCUUGGCAUCUCGAUAACCGCUCACGAAACCGUAAACGGCGAGGAAAUGAAGCACAAUGAUACCAAUCACAUUUCGCCAUAUUAUCCGUUGGCUAGCCG